UUGAAAAUGUUACUGCGAUAAAGGGAUCUAUCAAUAAUUAAACCCCUUCCACACGACCCAAGUUUACGCCAAAUUUGAUUAGAUUGACAAUAAAAUUGGGUCGUGUGGAAAUAUGAAAUUCAAAGUCGGGAAGAAAGAAAUUCAAAUCGGGCGAUACCGACCACCCAAUGGGGUGGUCGGUAUCGCCCGAUUUGGGAUUGCUCAGUCAAAUACUGAAAUUGGCGAUAUAGUUGUGUACGUGUGGACGGACGAUCAGAUUGUACCCAAUUCAAUCAGCAAUCAAAUUGUGUCGUAUGGAAGGGGUUUAAGUGUUGUUUUAUAACUAUAGUGUUGAUAGUCAAGAAGAAACGUUUUUUUUUUUUCGCUGAACAUGAAAUACAACAAAAUACAACAAUUUCUAAAACAAAGUAAAAAUGUAAAAGAAUAUAUUAUAACGACAUACUAAGUUCAAUGAUCAUCAGAUCAACAAUUUUAAUAUAUAAAAAACAAAAAAAAAUUACUUAAUUUUCUUUGGAAGCUGAGGCGUGGCUUAGCUGGUACGUCUAUUGUAAUGUAAAUAGGAAUUGUUACUUAAAUAUUUUCUGUUCAAAAGUAGCACUACGUAACUUGUGUGGUGUUUACAGAUGUUUAAGUAUUAAAUAUAGAGUUCUAGUAAUGUGCGGAUAGCCCGAAAAAUAUUUUUAUUGCUUUUUUACGUGUUUUCUAUGCCAAUUAAAUAAUAGAAAUUUAAUACGUAAAAGUCAUCACAUAGCAAAAAAUAAAAUGAUUUUCAGUAGAAUGUUUCUGUAAGUAGUUACAUGUACUAUGAAAUUUCUGUGUUAUUCUCUAUUUUUAAUGCACUGGUGACUUUUGUUGUUACAAUUUUAAUAUAUUUACUAAUUUUAAAGUUUCCAAGUGAAGACCGUACCACGUAAGAAAAACCCGUGACAAUAUGAGCCACUUUCUGUUUGCAGCGACAGUAGCGCCCACGGCUACGGGACUUCUUUCUUGGUACGAACUCUGUGACCAAAAUCGUCACCAACUAUUUAAAUGGAUUUGUUAUUCCUUUCACACAUGCUUUUAAUUUAAUUUUGAAAAUAAUAAUGAGAUGAAAAAAUUCUUGUUUCGAGCUGGAAUUGAACCCACGCCCCUGUUUAUCUGGGACAGUGCUCUUAACCACUGAGCUAUCGAGACCAUGCCAAUUUUUCAUCUCAUUUCACGUCACCAAAUGUAUCAAUACACUUGUAUUGAUAAAUUUGUAUACAUUUUUAUGUGCCGUUUGUGUAACUCUAGAAUUGUAAAAUAUCUUAAUAUUUAUGGAUACGGUACGAAAUUAUAACUAAUAAAAUGGUAGGUAAAUAUGGCAAUAUUAACAAAAUUCCCACAACUUUCAUCUUAAUUCAUUGAUCGAUUUGCUGUGGUGUUAGGACUUCUCAUUUUAGUGUUAAUAAAAUUAAUAUUUUACUUUAUUGCUUCUUAAAAUAAGUUCGUUAUUAAAUAAACAUGUUUGAAUAUGUCGUUUUAUUCCUUAAUCACUAGCGUGCCAUAGGCGUUUCGUCGUAUCGUUUUGCGUGUAAUCUACUGCAAUAGUUUUGCAAUCCCCAAUGCCAAGGGCAUUAUUUUGGUUCAAAAUAUAUUAAAAAAAACAAUAUUUUUUAUCCAAUUUGUGAUAUACAUCACCAUUUUCAAGUAGGGUUAAGUUCUUCCAUCUACCUCUGUCCCUUUUCUUAUCACUUAACACUCCCUCCAGUUCAUACUUUCUCUGACGCAAUUCAUCUACCUAUUCUUAGUUUUUCCUAUUUUCCCUAUAACUUUAUUUUUGUGUUCAAAUUACGAUUUUUAUGUAAUAACGAUUUCAGCCGAAUUGAUCCAGAUGGUUUCCGGCAAGACAUACAUACACCACGAAAACUACACAUUUUUCUAUCGAUACCAAGUCAAGCAAGGGCACAAGUGGGUCUGCACCAGCUUCCCUAGAUGCAAGGCCUUCGUUUGUGUCAGCGACACACUCGUGAUACUCGAUUGCUCCUUAAACCACAAUCAUCCAAGGAAAGAACUGCAUCAAUGUUCUGAUGGCAAUCAGCUUUGUAACUCUAACCAAUGGAAAGACUCACGCCGUGCACCAAGGAUACACAUUUUACAGACAGUAUAUAAACAGGUCGUCUUCAAGAUGGACCUGCACCGCUUAUCCCAAGUGUAAAUCCUUCUUGUAUGUGAAAAAUAACUCUAAUUUCAUAAUAAAAGCCCAUAUAAAUCAUGCCACACAUCCGAAGAAACUGUUACAUUUGACACAUAGAGGUUAUAUGAAACUUAAAAUUUCAAGAUGAAUAUUGAAAGCAUUUUACUUAUGAUCUCAACUUGUACGGCCAUGUACAUAGAGUAAAACAUUAUUAUGUAUUUGUUAAAUUAAAGUUUCUAAUGGAGUAUUUGAGUUUCUGAUAUAUCUACCCUCACAUUUUGUUAUAUAAAAGCAGAUUUCAGCCCACAUCAACCAUACUAUACUUAUAUAUAUACGAUAUAAUUUAUACUUUAAUACUAUACGAUAUAAUUUAUGAAUGAGUCCCUAUCCUAUAUGCUAUGUCGGUCUUUCUCUUAUUUAUUUUAUACCUACCUUCAUAAAUAAAAAAUACUACAACGUUGUGGAAAAUCUUGAAAAUUAAAUUAUGGUCAUGGACAAAAUUAUGGUUUUCAAAAUUAUUGUUAUAAAGUGUCGUGAUGUUACUCUUCCUGUUGACCCACACUUCAAAGAACAACUCUAUUUUAACACUAUUAAUGAGCUAAUUAAAAUAAAUACAAACACGAUUACUAACAUAAUUCUGUUUACAGGCAAGUUGAUAGUAAAAGACGGCAAAACUCAGCUUGUGUAUGAAGGACAUUUGUACGACAAACAACCCUAUCAAAGUGAAAGUGGAAAAUUGAUUCGUUGGGUUUGCAACUCUUGGAAAUGUAAAGCAUCAAUUUACACCAAUGACAAAUACAUCGUUCAAAUGAAAAGUCAUAAGCAUUUCCACCAGCCCGGAGACGGAAAUCAAGACCUUAUAGCUGCAAAAAUAUCAAUUAAAUCGGUAUUGCCACAUAAGAAUACGGCUAAAAGAGGUAGAAAACCUGGGCCGAAAAAACGGGUUAUUAAACCAGUAUUGAUCCAGGCCCCUACUUUGGAUCAAGAGACCCAGGACACGGAUGAUGUUACAGAGGGAAUUGAGGCGCCUGUAAAGGAAAAUUUAACUGAGUUAAAGGACAUGUGCUUAAAGCUAGAACCUAUAGAUACUCCAAGACUUUUGCGUAAAAAAGAUCCUUUGUCUUGAAUUUUGACUUGAGUUCGAUUACCGUGUCAAUUUUCGAUAGGACAUUAUCGUCUUAUAUAAAGAGCUUUGAGAGUUGUUUCUUUAAAUUUAUAUGUAUUGUAUUGUGAUGCGAAAUGCCAGUGAUUUUAAGAUAAUUACGUUCUCCUUUAUUAACGUUUCUGUGAUUGCAAAUUGAUCUUUUUAUGACUUCGUCAUUGAAUCGUGCGGAAAUAAAGUCGCCCUUAUGAUUUUAGCCUCAUCAUCAUAAUCAGACAGUUGUUAUGCCCCACUGCUGGGGUUGCACCUUUACAGAGGAUGGGGCAUGACCCACCAUUCAGCCCAAAUACUAAUUGGUAGGUUUUUUAAACCUUAACAUUGUACAUUUGUUAAUCUUUAAAAUAUGAUGAGGGUACCCUUACUACAUGUAUUAUAUCAACUUUUUAGACGCAUAAAUGUAUUAAUUAAAUGUACUGUAUUGGCUAAUAAAAAUGCAUGCAUGUA